rnacentral:rRNA from 1 species
CGGGUGAGUAAUGUAUCGGAACGUACCAUUCAGUGGGGGAUAACGUAGCGAAAGUUACGCUAAUACCGCAUAUUCUGUGCGCAGGAAAGCAGGGGAUCGCAAGACCUUGCGCUGAUUGAGCGGCCGAUAUCAGAUUAGCUAGUUGGUGAGGUAAAAGCUCACCAAGGCGACGAUCUGUAGCGGGUCUGAGAGGAUGAUCCGCCACACUGGAACUGAGACACGGUCCAGACUCCUACGGGAGGCAGCAGUGGGGAAUUUUGGACAAUGGGGGCAACCCUGAUCCAGCCAUGCCGCGUGAGUGAAGAAGGCCUUCGGGUUGUAAAGCUCUUUCAGCCGGGAAGAAAAUGCAUGGGUUAAUACCCUGUGCAGAUGACGGUACCGGAAUAAGAAGCACCGGCUAACUACGUGCCAGCAGCCGCGGUAAUACGUAGGGUGCGAGCGUUAAUCGGAAUUACUGGGCGUAAAGCGUGCGCAGGCGGUUUUGUAAGACAGGCGUGAAAUCCCCGGGCUUAACCUGGGAACUGCGUUUGUGACUGCAAGGCUAGAGUACGGCAGAGGGGGGUGGAAUUCCACGUGUAGCAGUGAAAUGCGUAGAGAUGUGGAGGAACACCAAUGGCGAAGGCAGCCCCCUGGGUCGAUACUGACGCUCAUGCACGAAAGCGUGGGUAGCAAACAGGAUUAGAUACCCUGGUAGUCCACGCCCUAAACGAUGUCAACUAGGUGUUGGGAGGGUAAAACCUUUUAGUACCGUAGCUAGCGCGAGAAGUUGACCGCCUGGGGAGUACGGCCGCAAGGUUAAAACUCAAAGGAAUUGACGGGGACCCGCACAAGCGGUGGAUGAUGUGGAUUAAUUCGAUGCAACGCGAAAAACCUUACCUACCCUUGACAUGUCAGGAACUUUCCAGAGAUGGAUUGGUGCCCGAAAGGGAACCUGAACACAGGUGCUGCAUGGCUGUCGUCAGCUCGUGUCGUGAGAUGUUGGGUUAAGUCCCGCAACGAGCGCAACCCUUGUCGUUAAUUGCCAUCAUUCAGUUGGGCACUUUAACGAGACUGCCGGUGACAAACCGGAGGAAGGUGGGGAUGACGUCAAGUCCUCAUGGCCCUUAUGGGUAGGGCUUCACACGUCAUACAAUGGUCGGUACAAAGGGUCGCCAACCCGCGAGGGGAGCCAAUCCCAUAAAGCCGAUCGUAGUCCGGAUUGUAGGCUGCAACUCGCCUGCAUGAAGUCGGAAUCGCUAGUAAUCGUGGAUCAGCAUGUCACGGUGAAUACGUUCCC